GACUUUGAAGUAUAAUCAUACGUUGAAUUGCAAAUUCAAAGAAGUAGUAUAAUAAUACUACCGAGGUC